rnacentral:rRNA from 1 species
GGUAAGAAGGGUACUACAGGGGGUAAGGAGUGAAAUCUUGUAAUCCCUGUGGGACCACCUGUGGCGAAAGGCGUCUUACCAGAACGGGUCUGACGGUGAGGGACGAAAGCUGGGGGCACGAACCGGAUUAGAUACCCGGGUAGUCCCAGCCGUAAACGAUGCUCGCUAGGUGUCAGGCAUGGCGCGACCGUGUCUGGUGCCGCAGGGAAGCCGUGAAGCGAGCCACCUGGGAAGUACGGCCGCAAGGCUGAAACUUAAAGGAAUUGGCGGGGGAGCACAACAAC